GGAGAGAUGGCCGAGUCGGCUGAAGGCGCUCGCCUGCUAAGCGAGUGUACGGUUAAAAGCCGUACCGAGGGUUCGAAUCCCUCUCUCUCCGCCA
rnacentral:tRNA from 1 species